AGUUGUCAAGAGUGUCUUGCAUCAGAUUGAAAAGGUUUUGAAGAAGACAGAUGACUUUUGUUCAAUUUGGUUCUAGGUAGAUUUAGUACCUUAAAAUCUCGACCCAAUAUAUAUGACCUGAGCUCUUGAAAAGCUAUUCACGUCUGUCGUACUUAGAAUGAUUUUGGAGGGAAUCGUAUUCACGGUUGGCCUGGUCCUGGGGGUGGCAGCUGGACAGCGGUACAACUUGCCCAAAGUGGCCCCCAGCAUGAAGAAGGCGGUGGAAAAGGUGAUUGAAGUAGAGCGCAAGUUCCGGAAGCCACCUCAGCAGUAAAAAAACGGAAGUACUUGUAGCAGACGUCAAGAUGUGAGAACUAAUGAAUGAAAAGUGAGGACAGAGAUAAUGUACAGAGAUAAUGUACACAGAAAUGAUGUACUGAAUCAUUAAUUUUUCUUUAAAGUCAGAAAUUAUAUUUUCACGUACAAAAAAAUA
rnacentral:sRNA from 1 species